UGAGGGAUCCCUCGUGUCGCCAAUCAUACUCGCGGACGAGGAAAGAAGGGGUGGGACCGAAGAGUGGAGAGGAGAAGUUGAGUGGGGUUGUGCGGCACGCGGCGCUAGACGGAGAGGGGGCGGGGAGGGCCUACCAACCGCCUCCUGGAUCCGUGCCUCCCGGGGCUCGUGGGGGUGACAGCCGAGCUUGGGGCCCCGCCCGAGAGGCCCAAAUCCGCCUCUGCCCAGGUCUCGCACCUCUGUCAGAACAACUAUUUUUUUUCCCUCUUCUUUUUUCUUUUACGUUUCAUUACUUUCUCUUCCUGUUCGCUCGGCCCCUUCCUGGCUCACUGAUCUCUGACGACUUAAUUUCAGGGAUGUUCAGAGGAGGGAAGCUACAGGCGGAGAUUCCUGACUACAUGUGAUCCUGGACAAGUCCUGGACCUGUAAUUGGUAGAGAGAAGCCCCCAGGAGAGAUUCCUGGUCUUUGUGUUUCAAUAUACUUCAAAUGAGGAGCUAAUAUUAUGGGAGAAAAGCUUCAUAAUAGUAUGAAGAUACUGGAGAUAAAAAAGAG